GACGAACGCUGGCGGCGUGCCUAAUACAUGCAAGUAGAACGCUGAAGAGAGGAGCUUGCUCUUCUUGGAUGAGUUGCGAACGGGUGAGUAACGCGUAGGUAACCUGCCUUGUAGCGGGGGAUAACUAUUGGAAACGAUAGCUAAUACCGCAUAACAAUGGAUGACACAUGUCAUUUAUUUGAAAGGGGCAAUUGUUCCACUACAAGAUGGACCUGCGUUGUAUUAGCUAGUAGGUGAGGUAAUGGCUCACCUAGGCGACGAUACAUAGCCGACCUGAGAGGGUGAUCGGCCACACUGGGACUGAGACACGGCCCAGACUCCUACGGGAGGCAGCAGUAGGGAAUCUUCGGCAAUGGGGGCAACCCUGACCGAGCAACGCCGCGUGAGUGAAGAAGGUUUUCGGAUCGUAAAGCUCUGUUGUAAGUCAAGAACGGGUGUGAGAGUGGAAAGUUCACACUGUGAUGGUAGCUUACCAGAAAGAGACGGCUAACUACGUG
rnacentral:rRNA from 1 species